rnacentral:rRNA from 1 species
GGGUUGUGAGGUUAAGCGACUAAGCGUACACGGUGGAUGCCCUGGCAGUCAGAGGCGAUGAAGGACGUGCUAAUCUGCGAUAAGCGUCGGUAAGGUGAUAUGAACCGUUAUAACCGGCGAUUUCCGAAUGGGGAAACCCAGUGUGAUUCGUCACACUAUCAUUAACUGAAUCCAUAGGUUAAUGAGGCGAACCGGGGGAACUGAAACAUCUAAGUACCCCGAGGAAAAGAAAUCAACCGAGAUUCCCCCAGUAGCGGCGAGCGAACGGGGAGCAGCCCAGAGCCUGAAUCAGUGUGUGUGUUAGUGGAAGCGUCUGGAAAGGCGCGCGAUACAGGGUGACAGCCCCGUACACAAAAAUGCACAUAUUGUGAGCUCGAUGAGUAGGGCGGGACACGUGGUAUCCUGUCUGAAUAUGGGGGGCCCAUCCUCCAAGGCUAAAUACUCCUGACUGACCGAUAGUGAACCAGUACCGUGAGGGAAAGGCGAAAAGAACCCCGGCGAGGGGAGUGAAAAAGAACCUGAAACCGUGUACGUACAAGCAGUGGGAGCACGCUUAGGCGUGUGACUGCGUACCUUUUGUAUAAUGGGUCAGCGACUUAUAUUCUGUAGCAAGGUUAACCGAAUAGGGGAGCCGAAGGGAAACCGAGUCUUAACUGGGCGUUAAGUUGCAGGGUAUAGACCCGAAACCCGGUGAUCUAGCCAUGGGCAGGUUGAAGGUUGGGUAACACUAACUGGAGGACCGAACCGACUAAUGUUGAAAAAUUAGCGGAUGACUUGUGGCUGGGGGUGAAAGGCCAAUCAAACCGGGAGAUAGCUGGUUCUCCCCGAAAGCUAUUUAGGUAGCGCCUCGUGAAUUCAUCUCCGGGGGUAGAGCACUGUUUCGGCAAGGGGGUCAUCCCGACUUACCAACCCGAUGCAAACUGCGAAUACCGGAGAAUGUUAUCACGGGAGACACACGGCGGGUGCUAACGUCCGUCGUGAAGAGGGAAACAACCCAGACCGCCAGCUAAGGUCCCAAAGUCAUGGUUAAGUGGGAAACGAUGUGGGAAGGCCCAGACAGCCAGGAUGUUGGCUUAGAAGCAGCCAUCAUUUAAAGAAAGCGUAAUAGCUCACUGGUCGAGUCGGCCUGCGCGGAAGAUGUAACGGGGCUAAACCAUGCACCGAAGCUGCGGCAGCGACGCUUAUGCGUUGUUGGGUAGGGGAGCGUUCUGUAAGCCUGCGAAGGUGUGCUGUGAGGCAUGCUGGAGGUAUCAGAAGUGCGAAUGCUGACAUAAGUAACGAUAAAGCGGGUGAAAAGCCCGCUCGCCGGAAGACCAAGGGUUCCUGUCCAACGUUAAUCGGGCAGGGUGAGUCGACCCCUAAGGCGAGGCCGAAAGGCGUAGUCGAUGGGAAACAGGUUAAUAUUCCUGUACUUGGUGUUACUGCGAAGGGGGGACGGAGAAGGCUAUGUUGGCCGGGCGACGGUUGUCCCGGUUUAAGCGUGUAGGCUGGUUUUCCAGGCAAAUCCGGAAAAUCAAGGCUGAGGCGUGAUGACGAGGCACUACGGUGCUGAAGCAACAAAUGCCCUGCUUCCAGGAAAAGCCUCUAAGCAUCAGGUAACAUCAAAUCGUACCCCAAACCGACACAGGUGGUCAGGUAGAGAAUACCAAGGCGCUUGAGAGAACUCGGGUGAAGGAACUAGGCAAAAUGGUGCCGUAACUUCGGGAGAAGGCACGCUGAUAUGUAGGUGAAGUCCCUUGCGGAUGGAGCUGAAAUCAGUCGAAGAUACCAGCUGGCUGCAACUGUUUAUUAAAAACACAGCACUGUGCAAACACGAAAGUGGACGUAUACGGUGUGACGCCUGCCCGGUGCCGGAAGGUUAAUUGAUGGGGUCAGCGCAAGCGAAGCUCUUGAUCGAAGCCCCGGUAAACGGCGGCCGUAACUAUAACGGUCCUAAGGUAGCGAAAUUCCUUGUCGGGUAAGUUCCGACCUGCACGAAUGGCGUAAUGAUGGCCAGGCUGUCUCCACCCGAGACUCAGUGAAAUUGAACUCGCUGUGAAGAUGCAGUGUACCCGCGGCAAGACGGAAAGACCCCGUGAACCUUUACUAUAGCUUGACACUGAACAUUGAGCCUUGAUGUGUAGGAUAGGUGGGAGGCUUUGAAGUGUGGACGCCAGUCUGCAUGGAGCCGGCCUUGAAAUACCACCCUUUAAUGUUUGAUGUUCUAACGUGGACCCGUGAUCCGGGUUGCGGACAGUGUCUGGUGGGUAGUUUGACUGGGGCGGUCUCCUCCUAAAGAGUAACGGAGGAGCACGAAGGUUGGCUAAUCCUGGUCGGACAUCAGGAGGUUAGUGCAAUGGCAUAAGCCAGCUUGACUGCGAGCGUGACGGCGCGAGCAGGUGCGAAAGCAGGUCAUAGUGAUCCGGUGGUUCUGAAUGGAAGGGCCAUCGCUCAACGGAUAAAAGGUACUCCGGGAUAACAGGCUGAUACCGCCCAAGAGUUCAUAUCGACGGCGGUGUUUGGCACCUCGAUGUCGGCUCAUCACAUCCUGGGGCUGAAGUAGGUCCCAAGGGUAUGGCUGUUCGCCAUUUAAAGUGGUACGCGAGCUGGGUUUAGAACGUCGUGAGACAGUUCGGUCCCUAUCUGCCGUGGGCGCUGGAGAACUGAGGGGGGCUGCUCCUAGUACGAGAGGACCGGAGUGGACGCAUCACUGGUGUUCGGGUUGUCAUGCCAAUGGCACUGCCCGGUAGCUAAAUGCGGAAGAGAUAAGUGCUGAAAGCAUCUAAGCACGAAACUUGCCCCGAGAUGAGUUCUCCCUGACCCUUUAAGGGUCCUGAAGGAACGUUGAAGACGACGACGUUGAUAGGCCGGGUGUGUAAGCGCAGCGAUGCGUUGAGCUAACCGGUACUAAUGAACCGUGAGGCUUAACCUUACAACGCCGAAG